rnacentral:rRNA from 1 species
GAUGAACGCUGGCGGCGUGCCUAAUACAUGCAAGUCGAGCGAAUGGAUUAAGAGCUUGCUCUUAUGAAGUUAGCGGCGGACGGGUGAGUGACACGUGGGUAACCUGCCCAUAAGACUGGGAUAACUCCGGGAAACCGGGGCUAAUACCGGAUAACAUUUUGAACCGCAUGGUUCGAAAUUGAAAGGCGGCUUCGGCUGUCACUUAUGGAUGGACCCGCGUCGCAUUAGCUAGUUGGUGAGGUAACGGCUCACCAAGGCAACGAUGCGUAGCCGACCUGAGAGGGUGAUCGGCCACGCUGGGCCUGAGACACGGCCCAGAGUCCUACGAGAGACAGCAGUAGGGAAUCUUCCGCAAUGGACGAAAGUCUGACGGAGCAACGCCGCGUGAGUGAUGGAGGCUUUCGGGGCGUAAAACUCUGUUGUUAAGGAAGAACAAGUGCUAGUUGAAUAAGCUGGCACCUUGACGGUACCUAACCAGAAAGCCACGGCUAACUACGUGCCAGCCGCCGCAGUAA